AAUAGAUACCCAGGUAGUCCACGCCGUAAACGAUGAGUACUAAGUGUUAGAGGGUUUCCGCCCUUUAGUGCUGCAGCUAACGCAUUAAGCACUCCGCCUGGGGAGUACGGCCGCAAGGCUGAAACUCAAAGGAAUUGACGGGGGCCCGCACAAGCGGUGGAGCAUGUGGUUUAAUUCGAAGCAACGCGAAGAACCUUACCAGGUCUUGACAUCCUCUGACCUCCCUGGAGACAGGGCCUUCCCCCUUCGGGGGGACAGAGUGACAGGUGGUGCAUGGUUGUCGUCAGCUCGUGUCGUGAGAUGUUGGGUUAAGUCCCGCAACGAGCGCAAUCCUUGACCUUAGUUGCCAGCAUUCGGUUGGGCACUCUAAGGUGACUGCCGGUGACAAACCGGAGGAAGGUGGGGAUGACGUCAAAUCAUCAUGCCCCUUAUGACCUGGGCUACACACGUGCUACAAUGGAUGGUACAAAGGGCUGCGAGACCGCGAGGUUAAGCCAAUCCCAGAAAACCAUUCCCAGUUCGGAUUGCAGGCUGCAACCCG
rnacentral:rRNA from 1 species